rnacentral:rRNA from 1 species
UACGAGGGGGGCAAGCGUUGUUCGGAAUUAUUGGGCGUAAAGGGUGCGUAGGCGGUUUGGUAAGUCUUAUGUGAAAUCUACAGGCUCAACUUGAAGUCUGCAUGAGAAACUGCCGGGCUUGAGUAUGGGAGAGGUGAGUGGAAUUCCUGGUGUAGCGGUGAAAUGCGUAGAUAUCAGGAGGAACACCUGUGGCGAAAGCGGCUCACUGGACCAUAACUGACGCUGAUGCACGAAAGCUAGGGGAGCAAACAGG